AUACGGAGGGUGCAAGCGUUAUUCGGAAUCACUGGGCGUAAAGGACGCGUAGGCGGGUUGGCAAGUCAGAUGUGAAAUCCUACAGCUUAACUGUAGAACUGCAUUUGAAACUGCUAACCUAGAGUAUGGGAGGGGGAGAUGGAAUUAGUGGUGUAGGGGUAAAAUCCGUAGAUAUCACUAGGAAUACCGAAAGCGGAGGCGAUCUCCUGGAACAUAACUGACGCUAAGGCGUGAAAGCGUGGGGAGCAAACAGGAUUAGAAACCCCAGUAGUCC
rnacentral:rRNA from 1 species